rnacentral:rRNA from 1 species
GCCUACGGGAGGCAGCAGUGAGGAAUAUUGGUCAAUGGGCGGAAGCCUGAACCAGCCAAGUCGCGUGAGGGAAUAAGGCCCUACGGGUCGUAAACCUCUUUUGCCGGGGAGCAAGGGCGGGGACGUGUCCCGGCCCGGAGAGUACCCGGAGAAAAAGCAUCGGCUAACUCCGUGCCAGCAGCCGCGGUAAUACGGAGGAUGCGAGCGUUAUCCGGAUUUAUUGGGUUUAAAGGGUGCGCAGGCGGGCUGUUAAGCCGGCGGUAAAAAUUCAGGGCUCAACCCUGUCGAGCCGUCGGAACUGGCAG